AUACGGAGGGGGCUAGCGUUGUUCGGAAUUACUGGGCGUAAAGCGCGCGUAGGCGGCUUAUCAAGUUAGGCGUGAAAGGCCUGGGCUCAACCCGGGAACUGCGCUUAAUACUGGUAGACUUGAGUCCGGGAGAGGGUGGCGGAAUUCCCAGUGUAGAGGUGAAAUUCGUAGAUAUUGGGAAGAACACCAGUGGCGAAGGCGGCCACCUGGCCCGGACCUGACGCUGAGGUGCGAAAGCGUGGGGAGCAAACAGGAUUAGAUACCCCAGUAGUCC
rnacentral:rRNA from 1 species